AUUGAACGCUGGCGGCAGGCCUAACACAUGCAAGUCGAACGGUAACAGGAAACAGCUUGCUGUUUCGCUGACGAGUGGCGGACGGGCGAGUAAUGUCUGGGAAACUGCCUGAUGGAGGGGGAUAACUACUGGAAGCGGUAGCUAAUACCGCAUAACGUCGCAAGACCAAAGAGGGGGACCUUCGGGCCUCUUGCCAUCAGAUGUGCCCAGAUGGGAUUAGCUAGUAGGUGGGGUAACGGCUCACCUAGGCGACGAUCCCUAGCUGGUCUGAGAGGAUGACCAGCCACACUGGAACUGAGACACGGUCCAGACUCCUACGGGAGGCAGCAGUGGGGAAUAUUGCACAAAGGGCGCAAGCCUGAUGCAGCCAUGCCGCGUGUAUGAAGAAGGCCUUCGGGUUGUAAAGUACUUUCAGCGGGGAGGAAGGGAGUAAAGUUAAUACCUUUGCUCAUUGACGUUACCCGCAGAAGAAGCACCGGCUAACUCCGUG
rnacentral:rRNA from 1 species